GGCGCAGGGCCCGCUCUGCGACCCCGCGGUGCUUCCUCGGCGCCGGUGAAGAUCUCCGAGGUGUUGGGGUGGAACUCGGUUUCGUACCUGUCUCCUCACCACCCUUCAAAACGGGGGGGGGGGGGGGAAAUAUUAAAAAAAAAAAAAAAUCCCUUUAUCGCCUUUUCCUGUUUGCUGUCUGCUGAAGAAGGACUUCUGUGUUCCCAAGGGGACCCUGAGCAAAUGGUGGGUUUUAGUUCUUCUUUUUCGAUCCAGCGACUGCAUUUAGCUCCGCUCUGCAGCGGCCGGUUGCUUUUCUCGUUGUGGCAGACGGCUGUCCGAACUUGGAUGUGGUGAUGGCUGGAGAACCAAAAGGGUUAGGUUAAGAUUGUUGACUCGCUUACGUCCGAGUGGUUAGUGAGCAGUUUCCAGUGUAAGUAUUCCAUGUUAAAUGUACCUCGUGCAAAAUAAUCGAAUGAAUAACGGAAUAGUGCAAGAAACCUAGUUUUAAAAACCUGUGUUACUGGCCUUUAUAGGAAGGUUACAUAUAACUAGAUACAUAGCACUUAAUUUUACUAACUUGGGUGGGACAGGCAAGCAGGGAACUCCUUGGCUAAAUUUUCUUUUGGAAUUAAAAUACUUGCCUGGCUGCAGAUAGCUGUCAUGCACUCUGCCACCCCACAUGUUGUUUUCCUUCUUUCGUUGUCCAUAAUAAUUUACAGCUCUACUGAAUAAGCAUGUGGUUUUUAUUUGUCUUUACUUUUAAAGCGUUGGACAAUGCUGAAGUUGUCAGUGCUUGCUUUUUUUAGAGCAAGGGUGGUUGUGUGUGACUGGGCUUUUUAGAGGAUUUUUUGGUGGCUUUUUAGUAGCUUAUAAGGUAACAAGCUGUAAUGGCAGACUGGAGGGAGAGCUGUUUCUCAGACAUACCCAAAAUAAAUCCAAACCUCUUUUUUCCUAACACUUUCUAUUUCUAGAGAAGCCUAACCAAAGGAUGGUAUCUGUGUUUCAGUAUCAACAUGGAAUUUAUAAUAAGCUUAUUUUUCUCUGUCUUCUUUCAGGUUGUAUGGAGCUCUGUUUGUUGCCUUAAUUUUAGUAAAGCCUCUUCCGUUAGGUUAAAUAUAUAUAGGGAGUGUGCACUAAAAAAAAAAAAAGGCUCUAGCAGUCCUUGUUUUGCUUUUGAGUGCUCAAACAAACCAUCAGUUUCCUUAAAUUGAGAAUAUGUGAAAAAAAACUGCAGAGGGUCAAAUGAGGUAUUUGGAUUUCAAGCUGUAUUUUAUUUUGUGUCAAUUUAGUAAUGAAUCAUGAGAAACAGAUCUUUCAGCUCCUUAGGAUUGGAAUUUCACAUAAAUGUUUCACAAUGAAUAAAAACUUCCUAGCAAAAAGUCUUAGAAGAAUUCCUUAAGUUUUGUGGGUUUUUUUUUGUUUUUUCAUUUUGGUUUUUUUUUUUUUUUUUUUUAGAAUGUUCAUUCUCCUUGGUGUGUUGUUUUUAUUUUCAUUCUCCACAGAGCAGGCAGUAUGUUGGCCUGGUGCAGUGCAACCCACUUAAUCCCUUAGGGAUGGGCUUUGGCCACAUAGUUAUAUUGGGAAGAAUAUGAAUGCACAAUGUAGCCUGACCAACAGAGGCUGCUACUGCUAAGAGUCCCUGGAGGAAAAGGGAAGCUAAUGCAAGGGAGAAAGAUGAGCACGUAUGAGCAGAAAUAAUUGCUUGGUAAGUUAUUGAAAGAGUGGGAAGCAGUAACAGAGAAGUAGGUUGCAAGGAGAAUGUCAAUUAACUCAUGAAUUGUUAGAAAUGUAGGACCAAGAGGAGCAGCACCUAAGGGUGUUUUGAAGUUGGCUGAAAGUAAUAGAAUAUUUAAGUUGGGAAAUGCUCAGUUGUGAGCUGCUGAGAAAUGUCAACUCUGAUUAAAUCAGAAUAAAUGAUAGUUUGUUCAUUCUACUUGAAUGUGGGGAACGUGAUGGAAAGGGAAGGCCAGAUCUCUGCAAGAUUAAACUAGCAGAGGUAUAAAUGUAGGUAUUUCUCCAGACAAGUUUUGCUGAUGAGUUUGUGGCUAGAUUUAAGUUAGAAUAAAUUGUUUCAGACAGUAGGUACUGGGAUGAUUUCAUGAUCCAGGGGUUAUGUGGACUUAAGGAUUCCUUCCCUUGGCUGCUGCUUCUUUCAUAGUCCUGAGUCAUGCCAGGCAACUGUUUGAACUAGAGUCCUGAACUACGUAGGAGUUAAAAAUAACCUUGUAAACAAACCCCCAAAUACAGCUUUUUGGUAAUCAAAUGAGUGGCAACAGCUGUAUGUCAGUUCAGUUUGGGUUGUGUUCAUAUUACAAAUUACUAUGAAUAAACUCUAGUGAUAUUCUGGUGUUUGAUAAAGUGUGUCUAGUCUGCUAUUUUCAGAUAACCUGUCAUCAAAUUAUUAAAGAUCUGUCUAACAGGAAACACAAACUACCUUUGCAGUGCAAUGGUGAAAUCCUAGAUAAAGGAAGGAAGACUUAAAAGAUGAUUAGGAUCUCAGUAGGUCGAGCCAUAUGAUUGAAGGGCUUCCAGGCUUCUGGAGAACUAGGCAGCUGACAAGUGGCCCCAUCAGUAAAGGGAUGUUCCUGAUCCACAGCUCUUACAAUGGUACCCUGUGGAGGGGAGGGUCAGUUUGGAGGCUGACUAAUGUCUGAGCUUGUAAUGCAUUCAAAAGUACAAAGUGUGUAGCAUCUUGACUUCAUAUCUGUAUGUUUCCCUUUGAAUUGAGAGCAAAAUCUUUCAAGGUCAAACAGGCUUGUGGCCGCUUACACACUGAAAAACCGCUCUUGUGCCACUUAAUUGGCCAAGGUGUAAACCAGUACUUUCUGAAUACAAGAACAAGGAUUGGCUAAGCAGAUAAAAGGGAGAAAAUUUGCUUCUGUCCUUUUCUUUCCAGAUUUCUGGAAACUUGCAAAUCUGCUGUAGGUGACAAGUGUAACUACUCUGUAGUUAUUCAGGGCUGAGAGAUGUAAAAACACCACAAACAGUAAGUGUUGAAAACUGCUUUACAUAGUUCCGGAUUCUGCCCCUUCUACUGCAACUCUGAUAGUUCUUGGGACUUUUUUUUCCCAGACAUUUUACAGAGAAGGAAUUUAUGUCAUUUUUUGAUGAGCCACUGCAACUAACAAACCACGAGAAACAACUUUUUUCUAUGCUAGCCUGGUCAAUACUGUCAAAUGCUUUGUUAGUGUUAAGGAAAAAAAAAAUUGCUAAUGAGGGAGUAAGUUUACAUUAUGUUAUUGAAAGGCCAGUGGUUUUGUCAGACAAAAUACUUGAAGUGUUUGUGUGCCUUUUUAAACUGUUCAUGUCUGAUGCCUGCGGUUUAACGAAAUAAGAUGGCUUAGCAAAGAAAACUGUGAAUAAGCUUCAAAGCUGAAAUGGAUGUGUUGUAUAUGUGUAAAUUUGAGGAUAGGAAGUUAUGAAACAUGGUCAGUGUUAUUGUUGUACUAGUUAUGGGACUGCUAAUUCUGCUUCUGAGUAACUCUGAGAGAGUGUUUAUUCUUAAAUCUUUAACAAAGAUGGCCCCUUUUUUUAAGAAGUCCUGGGUGAAAGCAUAUUAGGCUGUAAAUAAACAUGAUUAAUUGGAACAAACUUGAGUCUGCCUUACUUUGGAUUUUUUUCCUUCUCCAAGUCAAAUGGGUGCUCUUUAACAACUUUAGUUAAAGGACAGUGUACCACAUAUCUUCAAGGAAACCUUUGGGUUUAGUCAUGAUUUCAUAUAGCAGGUGAUCACUGGAUGUAAAUGGUGAUUGAAAUAAAUUUUCUUGCCUGUUUCCAAGUUAGAAAGUAGGUACAAGUGGAGAAGCAAUAGUCUGGGAAUUUGAGGUGUCCCUUACAUCUGUUCCUUCAAGAAUACUGAAGGAAUUCAGUGGUGCUAUUGCAACAGACCCAGUUUUAGGUGUCUUUCAUUAAAAAAAAAAAAGGGGGGGGGGCUAGAGGUGCGAUUUCAGUUGCUAUGUGGUUUGGUUGUUUUUUUGUUUUUGUUUUUUUAUGGCGUGCUGCUGUACUUGGUAUCAGUAUGGUAAAAGUGAAACUAAAUUGGUCCAAUUGACUCAGUUUGCUUAAUAGUUUAAGUGUGCUUGCUGACAUCAUAGAUAAAAUGCAAUUACUGUGUUGGCUAACAGUAUUUUUCCACAGCUAUAACUUGAGUUCAGCACCUGUCUUCAGCCUUCAGUACUCUGGUAUAAGUAGGUCCUCCUUAAUCUAUUAAAUGAUUUUUUUAUAGUAAAAAAGACAAAUUCCUAGAUUAAGUUUGUGUGUUGCUGCUAUGUUUUUUUAGACCAAGAAUCUCGCUUUUCUUUGAGUGCUGCCUCAGUACCUAAGUGUUAAAAGAGGUAAUUGCACUCAGAAAGGCAGCUAUGAAGCUGAGUCAUGGAAUUAAGAAAAUCUAGAUGGAUAGAUUGGACAAGGCAGUGGUGUUUCUCUAAGCUUUGAGGGGCUCGAAUCAAAGAUUUUGUAAUGCAUGCUGAUUUUUUUGAAGUUGCUUAGCAUGUUGUUUUUAGUCUUGCCAGCAAAUGUUUGGACUGCUAAUGGAAACAUUUCAGAUUUGUUAUUCAGCUCACUGUUUAAAAGGGAGAUUCUGGGAGGUGACAAUUAAAUUACUAUUUGUGUUAUGGUAUAUGAUGGUGUUAGAAAUGACACUUAGAAACCAUUCCCUGCUUUUAACAGGAAUACUGAAGUCAGUGGUCUAAGAGCUUGAGUCCUCAUAAAUUUGGUGGAGGCAAUUCAGAGAUCGUUAUCAAAAUGGGCCAGAGUGGGGCUGCUUUUUAUUUGCUCUGAGUUUCUUUGAAUAUUGAAAUGAUAGAGGAACAUGAGGGAAAAAUCUUCUCUUUACAGACCCUGUGUACUAGGUUGAGACUACCCUUACUGUGCUGCACAAUUAGUUUAAUGUAAGAAAUAACUGGAACAAAUAGUUAUCUGUAGUUCUGUGGUGUCUUAAAAGUUCUUGAUGUUGGUUAAAACAAUCGGGUGCACGUUGGAAAUUGAGUUUUUGUUUUAUUUUCAGAUGCUGAGUGAUGAUUUAAACUGAACUAUUCAGAUCCAGCUUGUAAGUAUGUACUUAAAUGACUGAACAUGUAUCCCAUUUAUUUUGGAUUAAAAACUUUACAAAAACAUUAACUGCUAGCUAGAGCAUGACAGCUGCUACUGUGGAGCCUGAAUGUUCUGAAGAGUGACAUUGCCUGCAACAUCACAUUGAGAUACUUGCUUAUCGGUCCUGGGAAGAGUGUUUCUCUAGCUUUUCUGUAGAAGGACCAGUUUGGUUCUAGUUGAAAAGACACUUCUAAUGGUUUGUGGCUGAUCUAUAAUUGUCUGCCCAGUGGAAGUAUUUUUAUGGUCAUCAGGCUCCUAGACCUCACUGUAAUGGUCCACGUAGUUGAAACUGUGCAAAUUAACUUCUCAGGUUCUGGAUGCACAAAAGUACUAGAUACUGUUAACAGAGUUUCCUUACUUGUAUUUUGUUUAAAAUGUGACUUCAUGGAGAAUUUAAUGAUAAUUGCAGUUCUUCAAACUGUAGAAGCUAAAGAAACAAGUGCAUAGUACCAGUCAGAACUACGUAAGUCAGUUUUUUAUUCACAUUGUCUUCUAGGGAACUUGUGAUUUCAGUAGGACGGAAAAAAACAAAUAUAAUUGUAACUUGUUCCUACACUGAAGUGGAAGAACAGGGAAACAUUCAGUACCCUCUGUUCUCAUGAAUGCAUUAUUUACUAAGAUGACGCUACUAUCUAAUGGCAUAGCUCAAAUAACUUACUUGUUAACCAAUAGUAGGAAUUAGGGAAAUAAGUGAAGACACUGGACCAUUUUAAUUAUUUCAGCAUGAACGUGGAAAUCAUGUGCAAGUAGGCUGGUGACUUUAAUAAGGCUUUUCACAUACAUAAAAAGCUAUGUGUUCAUAUCCUGAGCCAUAGCAAUUACCCCAUAGCACUGUGAAAGUUAAACGAACAAUCCACUUGCAGUUCUCUAAGCAGUUUUAACAUUGUUGUGAUACAAACCUGUAGAAAUAUUAAGGAUUUAUAAACAUUGUUUUUUAAUUACACAGUACAAAUGAAUAAAAUUACUUGCUCUGAAGAAUUUUUUUAAUGGAAGCAGCCACUGUUCCUUAUAUUUUGAAAUUUCUUUGUGUUGAGGCUUCAGCUGUAGAAUAUGUCUAACAAAUAAUCAUUCAAAGAUGGAAAGUUAAAGACAAAAAAAAAAAUUCCUGAAAUUUCUUGCUUCUAAUGUAGGCCUUGAUUCUAAGGCAGCACAGAGUCAUAUGACUCUCAUGCCAGCUUCUAUCAGGUGUUAAUUCCAUAACCAUACUCUGUGGGUGAUGUAUAUGCCAGUAACGCUAAUUACAACUAGCAAGACCGCAUUCCUUCCUUCAGAGAAGGAGAUGGACUAGCCGACUUAUGACCCAUUUCCAUUUUAAAUAGAUGCUAUUUUCAGAGAAGCCUGUUUUGGCUGAAUUACUUUCAGCUCUUUUAGUAACGGAGCAGUACAGGGACAGCAGUUCUCAUGCAGAAACUUUUAAGUUUGGGCUCUUUAAAAAGAAACUUUACCCCCAAGCAAUUAAAACACUUUUUUACAUUAUUAGGUGACGUUACGGUAAUGACAGCAAACCUUGGGCUGGCACAAAACACUAAUGAGCUAACUACUUUUUAAAAAAAAAAAAUAAUCCUUUAACACUAAAAUCGGACAGUAAAAAAGCUUCAUUCGUGCUACUACUUUACCAUCCCUGUGCUUGCAGCCAGGCUCUUCACUAGCACUUUCAGGCUUUUUGACAGUUUUACCACGGGAAGUUGACACCUACUAACUGAACUGUCAGUGUAGACUUGGCCUCAGUAUUUGGCAUCUUAAGUACCAUUUGAAGCAGCAACAGUGAAUUCGCUUUUGUAGUAGUUGUAAUAGUAUUCCAUUCAUCAUGGCUGUUCUGCAAGGAGUAAACUAAAAUACCAAAUGUUUGUGUACCAAUACCUAGUCACCUGACUUUUAAAACAAAAUCCCAGUAUUUGCAUUUGUUCUGUAGAGAACUGUUCCCUGUGACUUGAUUUAAAAUUCCUUGUUUGAUUGCAGUUUGGGGUGAAGUGCAGCAGUUACUCCAGUAUAACAGAGAGUGUCCUGCUUUAUUCCUAAAGCUACCUCUUCACUUUUGCAUAUUAAAAAAUAACUUUGCUAAUGAAAUAAGGCUCUGAAGUGACUAGUUCAAGGCAUGUGCUCUACAAAACUCUCUCACUCCACUUCCAUGGAUCUUUUUCAGUGAACAUAAAUGAAUCAUUGCCUUCGCUGACUGUGAUGCGAUACCCCUCCUGCACAAACAUUGAAGGGUUUGGGGGUUUUAAGUGACAGAUGGGUAAUUCAGUAAUGCAGUGUACUGCUUAGACUGCCAUACAGACUGCAGUCUGUGGCAGAGACACCUCUUAAACAUGUGGUAUUCUUGAGUGGGUAUUCUUACUAUGAGUAUCUACGCUUCAUCUGUUCAGCAUAGUCCUGCUUUUGUACAUGAAAUUUGAUGUUGUUGGACUUUAACACUUUCUAGAUAUUUAUGUGUAUGAAAUUUUCUGCUCACAGCUCUUUCCUUUUUAAUGAUUUUCUUAAU